AACGCAUCUUGCGCUCCUUGGUAUUCCGAGGAGCAUGCUUGUUUGAGUGUCAUUAAAUUCUCAAUCCCUUUCAAGUUUUUAUUAACUUUGAAUUUGGGCUUGGAUUUGGGUGUUGCGGGCUUUUUCAAAGUCGGCUCUCCUUAAAAUUAUUAGCGGAACUUUUUGUGAAGCCGUCAUAGUGUGAUAAUUAUCUACGCUAUCGAUGUUGCUUACCUAUAAUGAAGUUUAGCUUCUAAUAGUCCACUUACGCGGACAAUAUCAAUAUCUUUUAUUGAUGACCAUUUGACCUCAAAUCAAGUAGGACUACCCGCUGAACUUAA
rnacentral:misc_RNA from 1 species